rnacentral:lncRNA from 1 species
GGUGGAUCUUCGGAUGCGCUGCAACCAGCAAAGUUUAUAUAGUUUAUUCAAUGGUUCUCAACUGGCUGAAUGGGGUCGUCUCAAGAUGUCUGAACUCCAGUGCUUGUGGAAAUGAUAUUUGGAUGAAGGGGACUUUCAAGGGGCUGCUGAACCGGUGUUGUCUUUAAUUCAAUAUGGCUGUGUUCUUGGGAAGAGUGGAUGAGUACAAACACACAGAGGAAGCCCAUGUGAAGACAAAGGAAGAAAGGUGAUGGAAUAGAGUUCACAUUUCAAAUGCCUGCAGAAUUGUGA